rnacentral:miRNA from 1 species
GCGAACAUGGAUCUAGUGCACG